rnacentral:rRNA from 1 species
GAUGAACGCUGGCGGCGUGCCUAAUACAUGCAAGUCGAGCGAACGGACGAGAAGCUUGCUUCUCUGAUGUUAGCGGCGGACGGGUGAGUAACACGUGGAUAACCUACCUAUAAGACUGGGAUAACUUCGGGAAACCGGAGCUCAUACCGGAUAAUAUUUUGAACCGCAUGGUUCAAAAGUGAAAGACGGUCUUGCUGUCACUUAUAGAUGGAUCCGCGCUGCAUUAGCUAGUUGGUAAGGUAACGGCUUACCAAGGCAACGAUGCAUAGCCGACCUGAGAGGGUGAACGGCCACACUGGAACUGAGACACGGUCCAGACUCCUACGGGAGGCAGCAGUAGGGAAUCUUCCGCAAUGGGCGAAAGCCUGACGGAGCAACGCCGCGUGAGUGAUGAAGGUCUGCGGAUCGUAAAACUCUGUUAUUAGGGAAGAACAUAUGUGUAAGUAACUGUGCACAUCGUGACGGUACCUAAUCAGAAAGCCACGGCUAAAUACGUG